rnacentral:rRNA from 1 species
AACGAACGCUGGCGGCAUGCCUAACACAUGCAAGUCGAACGAGACCUUCGGGUCUAGUGGCGCACGGGUGCGUAACGCGUGGGAAUCUGCCCUUGGGUUCGGAAUAACAGUUAGAAAUGACUGCUAAUACCGGAUAAUGUCUUCGGACCAAAGAUUUAUCGCCCAGGGAUGAGCCCGCGUAGGAUUAGCUAGUUGGUGAGGUAAAGGCUCACCAAGGCGACGAUCCUUAGCUGGUCUGAGAGGAUGAUCAGCCACACUGGACUGAGACACGGCCCAGACUCCUACGGGAGCAGCAGUGGGGAAUA